ensembl:lncRNA
CUCAGGCUUUCAGAGUGCUGGGAUGACAGGCCUGCACCACCAUACCGGGCUAAGCGUCCUUCUUUUACAAUUCAUGAGCUGUAAUCUGCAGCAUUGUAUUUCUUCUCUCAUGAAUUUCCCUGGUACUGCUUGAAGUGUUUGGAUUUUGAAAGCAACGGUUUUGCAAUUCCAGGGCUCGAAUCCGACAAGUGAGACACCAUACUACAUGCUGAAUGGUGACAGAGAAUGCCCCUUGGAUCAGAAGAGCUUUGAUGUCAUGCAACAUGGGGCACUGUGUCCCAGCACGGAGGAACGUGACCAAGACACACCUCAACAGCUGCUUCUCCUUUCUGUUGUUGAUGACCAGGCAUUUUUUUUCGUCGAAUCACCUGGGACAGGCCAGGGAUCACCUCUCCGUGCAGGAAUCUGACUGGAGCCUCUCUCCUCUGCUCCCUGGACAUGGUUAUGAGACACACAGGACACAUCUACCUCACUGGACACAGAAAAACUCUCUUUAGCAUUCAUUCUCGAAAAUAUCAUUUGACUCUAUCAGCUC